rnacentral:rRNA from 1 species
GUGGAUUAGAUACCCUGGUAGUCCGCACCGUAAACGAUGAUUACUCGUUGUUGGCAAUAUGACCGUCAGCGACCAAGCGAAAGCGAUAAGUAAUCCACCUGGGGAGUACGCCGGCAACGGUGAAACUCAAAGGAAUUGACGGGGGCCCGCACAAGCGGAGGAGCAUGUGGUUUAAUUCGAUGAUACGCGAGGAACCUUACCUGGGCUUGAAAGUUAGUGACCGGUUCUGAAAGGAAUCUUUCCGCAAGGACACGAAACUAGGUGCUGCACGGUUGUCGACAACU